rnacentral:rRNA from 1 species
UACGAAGGGGGCUAGCGUUGCUCGGAAUCACUGGGCGUAAAGGGUGCGUAGGCGGGUUUUUAAGUCAGAUGUGAAAUCCUGGAGCUCAACUCCAGAACUGCCUUUGAUACUGAGAAUCUUGAGUAUGGGAGAGGUGAGUGGAACUGCGAGUGUAGAGGUGAAAUUCGUAGAUAUUCGCAAGAACACCAGUGGCGAAGGCGGCUCACUGGCCCAUAACUGACGCUGAGGCACGAAAGCGUGGGGAGCAAACAGG